UGAAGAAGGAUCUCUGUCUGGAGACCACUCCUCUUGGAGUCUUUUCCUGUACGCCUAGGACACAGACAGUUAUCAAUCACCCUUGAAAUCGGAGGCGUUGAGAGUUCCAAGGAAAAAUACAUCCGAUCUAUGUAAGUGUUGAGCCCUUUGGAAGCUUCAGAUUUCCUGAAUUCCUCUGGUAAAUCUUCUAGCUCUUGUGCCAGAUGUCACUGUGAGACUCUCAGAGGUCUUUGAAAGGUCAUGGCAAGGAGAGGUUACCAAGGACUAGAGGAAAGAAAAUGUUACCUCAAGAAAGAUAAUACUAUGAGGCAAUGUCUGUAGCGGAUGCUAUGGAAGUGUAAGGAAAGAAAGUAAGGAAGAAGAAAAAGAUUUGUUUGAACAGAUGACUGUACAACAAGAAGCCUGUACCUGUCCAACUUGGAUUCAUACUGGCUGGCAUUUCUUUGUGUCAGGCUAGUUACAAGCUUACACUUGAGGAAGUGUCUUUACUGAGACAUCAGCUUCAGAAGGAUCUGGACCACAGCUAAUUGUGAUUCUUUUCUCAGUGUCUCUAGUGGCACAGGCUGUUCCAUAACACCUCAGGGAGGAAAGCUGCAGAGCAUGAUUCUGCCUCUAAGACCUCAUAGGAAUGUUUGGAGAUCCUUCUAGAGGAAGUGAUUAGAAUCUGCUAAGGAAAGAAAAUAAAUUCUGGCUGGCAUGUAUGGGGAGAUGAAGAGAGAGCUCCUGUAUGGGAACAUCAUUCAUGAUCCCAAAGUCAAAGGCACCGGAGACAAGUAACUCAACAUCUCUAGAAAGGAAGUUAGUUCAUAAAAAUUACUUACAUAUAUCCAUUUGUGGCGAAAAACAACUGUGGUGGUUUUUUUAAGUGCACUGUCAUAAGAAAAGAUCCCACAGCUGAGGAUAUGAACAAACAUGGACACGCCUUAAGGGUGACGGAGGUUGGGUUGGCCACUGGUAGCAACGUAUUUGAGAUGCUCAGUUCUUUCCAGGACAUACACAUAUUUGCAGGGAAAAAGAGAGAAAGUGGCUGCUGCUCCUCACUGAUCCAGACACAGAUUACAGGAGUGGAUGUAGUUG